GAACGCUACUUGAGGAAAUGCUUGGCGAGGGUGGGCGGUUGCUGCUGUGCUUUGGUGCUCCAUCCUGCACGAUGUGAAACGGAUCCGCUCCUUCAGGUGAAGAGGGCAGCAGCUGCACACAGGAAUCUAAUAAGCCGUAGUCGUGGUUGAGCGAAGCAGUGCAUUUAUUC